CCUUGACAUCCAGAGAACUUAGCAGAGGAUGCUUUGUGCCUUCGGGAACUCUGAGACAGGUGCUGCAUGGCUGUCGUCAGCUCGUGUUGUGAAAUGUUGGGUUAAGUCCGCAACGAGCGCAACCCUUAUCCUUUGUUGCCAGCGGUUCGGCCGGGAACUCAAAGGAGACUGCCGGUGAUAAACCGGAGGAAGGUGGGGAUGACGUCAAGUCAUCAUGGCCCUUACGGCCAGGGCUACACACGUGCUACAAUGGCGCAUACAAAGAGAAGCGACCUCGCGAGAGCAAGCGGACCUCAUAAAGUGCGUCGUAGUCCGGAUUGGAGUCUGCAACUCGACUCCAUGAAGUCGGAAUCGCUAGUAAUCGUAGAUCAGAAUGCUACGGUGAAUACGUUCCCGGGCCUUGUACACACCGCCCGUCACACCAUGGGAGUGGGUUGCAAAAGAAGUAGGUAGCUUAACCUUCGGGAGGGCGCUUACCACUUUGUGAUUCAUAACUGGGGUGAAGUCGUAACAAGGUAAGCGUAGCGAG
rnacentral:rRNA from 1 species